rnacentral:rRNA from 1 species
UACCGCCUUCUCGAUGGUCACGGUGGUCUGAGCCGUAAGGCCGUUCGUGCCCUCCUCGUCACGAUGUUUGAGACAUAGGAGUUGCUCGACUGACCACCCGAGCAGAGUCUACGAGCGACCCACUUGAAACAAGCACAGGGGCUCCCUAAAAGGUUAGGGGAGGUGGGCGCGCAGUUUUGGGAUCGGCGGUCGGGACGAGCAGGGCUCGGACACGGGUGAGGGGGAGUAAGAGGAAGGACGAGGGAGGUAGGGGGGUACAGCGGCGGGGAGAAGAGGGGCGAGCGGGGCCGGCGGAGAGGAGGGGGGACGCAGCAGCCGGGGAGGGAAGAGGAGGGAGGAGAUCGGAGGUCGGGACGAGCAGGGCUCGGACGCGGGUGAGGGGCAGCAAGAGGAGGGGCGAGGGAGGUAGGAGAGGGUACAGCGGCGUCAGAGAGGCGGAGGAGGAGGGCAGUGGUGCAGGAGGCGGUACCUCGGAGCGGCGGCGCACGCAGAGGGAAGAGGUGGUACGACGGGAAGGUGGAGCGGAAGGAGAGGAAAGGAGCUCUACGACGAUAGGACGAGCAGUGUAACUGACGGCCGUUACCCUCCUCUGGACCCCCUCGUCUCCUCCCACGACGCGACCGAAGAGAGGGGCGCGGUGGUGCGGCGAACAAGAAGGAGGAUUCCAGGUCUAGACUUCGCCCUCUCUGCGCGCGUUUCACCGUCUUCUCCCGACGUAGUCACCACCAGGCUCGCGACGACGGAGGCAGGGACCGAGGGGCUUGUUAGGAGUAGCGUACGUCGGCGGCUGACUCGAGGCGGAGGAGUUAGACGUAGGGAGAAGUAGCGCGUACCGUUGUCCCGCUCCCAACACUACCCUUGUGGUCCUACUGUCGCUCUUCACCUGGAGACUCGACCGACGGCCAGGAGAGUCCACUCUAGUUGAGGUAGGAGGUAUCGGAAGAGACGUGGAGGGUAGAGAGAGAGAUACGCGCGCACACACCCCGAACACAUCCGUCUUAUGUUACCUUACCAGAUUCUAAACGCUCAAAGCGGCUACGCCGGUACUGCCACUACGGUUUGAGGCUCCUCUAUGGUUUCCACAUGACCCUCCGCCACGAAGGAUCUUAGGGUUACGGAGGUGGAUAAUCGUUGGACGACAAUCGGGUUGUUUUGUCAUGGAGAGGGGGGGAGAGGGUGGAACCACUGGAGUAAAAUCAACAAAACUAUUAACCACCAAGUCGAAAGGGAGAAACU